UACGGAGGGUGCGAGCGUUAUCCGGAUUCACUGGGUUUAAAGGGUGCGUAGGCGGGAAUGUAAGUCAGUGGUGAAAUCUCUGAGCUUAACUCAGAAACUGCCAUUGAUACUAUGUUUCUUGAAUUUUCUGGAGGUCAGCGGAAUAUGUCAUGUAGCGGUGAAAUGCUUAGAUAUGACAUAGAACACCAAUUGCGAAGGCAGCUGGCUACAGGGAUAUUGACACUGAGGCACGAAAGCGUGGGGAUCAAACAGG
rnacentral:rRNA from 1 species